rnacentral:rRNA from 1 species
CAAUAGCGUAUAUUAAAGCUGUUGCGGUUAAAAAGCUCGUAGUUGGAUUUCUGUCAAGGACAACUGGUCCGCCCCUCGGGUGAGCACAUAGUUUGGUCUUGGCAUCUUGUUGGAAACUGUUGCUGCACUUGGUUGUGUGGCGCAGUGUCCAGCACUUUCACUUUGAGGAAAUUGGAGUGUUUCAAGCAGGCACAUGCCUUUGGACACAGUAGCAUGGAAUAAUUAGAUUGGGCUUUUGCUCCAACUUGUCGGUUUCUGGAGCUGAGGUGAGAAUUAAUGGGGAUUGUUGGGGGCAUCCGAAUUUAGCCGUCAGAGGUGAAAUUCUUGGACCUGCUAAAGACGGACAACUGCGAAAGCGUUUGCCCAGGAUGUUUUCAUUGA